rnacentral:rRNA from 1 species
UGGGGAAUAUUGCACAAUGGGCGCAAGCCUGAUGCAGCCAUGCCGCGUGUGUGAAGAAGGCCUUCGGGUUGUAAAGCACUUUCAGCGAGGAGGAAGGGUAGUGUGUUAAUAGCACAUUGCAUUGACGUUACUCGCAGAAGAAGCACCGGCUAACUCCGUGCCAGCAGCCGCGGUAAUACGGAGGGUGCAAGCGUUAAUCGGAAUUACUGGGCGUAAAGCGCACGCAGGCGGUUUGUUAAGUCAGAUGUGAAAUCCCCGCGCUUAACGUAGGAACUGCAUUUGAAACUGGCAAGCUAGAGUCUUGUAGAGGGGGGUAGAAUUCCAGGUGUAGCGGUGAAAUGCGUAGAGAUCUGGAGGAAUACCGGUGGCGAAGGCGGCCCCCUGGACAAAGACUGACGCUCAGGUGCGAAAGCGUGGGGAGCAAACA